UGGCCCCCGCCGGGCCCGCCGCCUCCUGCAGCUUCUGUUCCAGCACCUCGUCCUCCUCCAGGAGGUCCCUGAUGUCCUUCAGGGAGGCCUCCACGUCCGUGAACACCCCCGACAGCACUGCAGGCGGACACAGAGGAGGGGGGGACAGCAGCAGGUGGCCUCCACCUGCUCCAUACUCACCCUGCAUGGACUGGACGAGGUUCCUAACGGUGUCGGGACGGACGCUGAGAGCCGCGCACUUCUCCAUGAGCUGGGGUGGGAUGUGGUUGUAGGCGUCGAGGUUGUCCACUGUCUCAGGAUCCAGCUGCAGUGAAUCCAUGAACUGGCUGUGGGGCAACAGGACCAGGUGGCCCAGAGGAGACAGGAGGCCGAGCGGCCGCCACAUUCCAGCCAGCCAACAGCUAAAGGUUAGUGUCCGCUUGCAGCUCUGCCCACAGCCCACACCUCCAGGGGACCACCCCCCCACCAGCGGUCUAAUGGGGCUGGAACAGUCUGAGUGCCCUCCUGGCCCCGGCUCGCUCACCUGCUCCCCAAACUUCUGCUGCUCCUCCGCCUGCUUCCCCAUGUGCAGCUGGACGGAAGAAACAGUCCUGCUUACUUAGGGGUGACACCUUAGCGCCGCGCCCCCCGCGCCCACAGCGCACUCACAUGAGCCACAGCCGCAAAGUAGUAGAUCUUCAUCUGGACCAGCUUCUUCCAGUCCUUCUGGAUCCGACCCAGCAGCGAGGCGGUGUCAGGGUUCUCCAGGGCGCGGCAGGCCUCUUUGUAGUAAUCCACCACCUGGGGGCCAGGACGGGCUCCGGUCGGGGGCUGGGGGAAGCCAGGGCUGGCCCCAGUCUCCAGGAGGCCCUCGCCCCCCAGCCUACCUGUGCACUGAU